rnacentral:rRNA from 1 species
AGUUGUAUCCUGGCUCAGGAUGAACGCUGGCGAGAUGCUUUACACAUGCAAGUCGUACGCGAGUCUUUGACUCGAGUGGCGGACGGGUGAGUAACACGUAAGAAUUUGCCUUUAGGAGGGGGACAACAACUGGAAACGGUUGCUAAUACCCCAUAUGCUUUCGAGUGAAAUGGAUUUUUUCCGCCUAGAGAGAAGCUUGCGGCUGAUUAGCUUGUUGGUGAGGUAAUGGCUUACCAAGGCGACGAUCAGUAUCUGGUUUGAGAGGACGAUCAGACACACUGGAACUGAGACACGGUCCAGACUCCUACGGGAGGCAGCAGUGGGGAAUUUUCCGCAAUGGGCGCAAGCCUGACGGAGCAAUCUCGCGUGAGGGAUGACUGCCUAUGGGUUGUAAACCUCUUUUUUCAGGGAGGAAUAAAUGACGUGUACCUGAAGAAUAAGCAUCGGCUAACUCCGUGCCAGCAGCCGCGGUAAUACGGAGGAUGCAAGUGUUAUCCGGAAUCACUGGGCGUAAAGCGUCUGUAGGUGGUUUAAUAAGUCAACUGUUAAAUCUUGAGGCUCAACUUCAAAAUCGCAGUCGAAACUAUUAGACUAGAGUAUAGUAGGGGUAAAGGGAAUUUCCAGUGGAGCGGUGAAAUGCGUAGAGAUUAGAAAGAACACCGAUGGCGAAGGCACUUUACUGGGCUAUUACUGACACUCAGAGACGAAAGCUAGGGUAGCAAAUGGGAUUAGAUACCCCAGUAGUCCUAGCUGUAAACAAUGGAUACUAGAUGUUGAACAGAUCGACCUGUGCAGUAUCAAAGCUAACGCGUUAAGUAUCCCGCCNGGGAAGUAUGCUCGCAAGAGUGAAAACUCAAAGGAAUUGACGGGG